rnacentral:rRNA from 1 species
UACGUAGGGGGCGAGCGUUGUCCGGAUUUAUUGGGCGUAAAGAGCGUGUAGGCGGUUCGGUAAGUCUGUCGUGAAAUCCUGAGGCUCAACCUCGGACGUGCAAUGGAUACUGCCGGGCUAGAGGAUGGUAGAGGCGAGUGGAAUUCCCGGUGUAGCGGUGAAAUGCGCAGAUAUCGGGAGGAACACCAGUAGCGAAGGCGGCUCGCUGGGCCAUUCCUGACGCUGAGACGCGAAAGCUAGGGGAGCGAACAGG